AAUACCUUCACUAAAAAAAUCGACAUAUUUUAUUGUUCAUUAUGUUUUAAAUAUCACCGUCGGCUAUCCAAUUAAGUUUAUUUCUAAAUAAAAUAAACGAAGCAGAUAUCAUACUAUCUAUCUUUCAAAAAAUAUAUAUAUAUCACUAUCGGCUACAUCCAACCCUAGUUAUUAAUUCCUUUCACAUUAAAAUUAUUAUUAUUAUAAUUAUGACAUAAUAAUUAAA
rnacentral:lncRNA from 1 species